rnacentral:rRNA from 1 species
AGUGAACGCUGGCGGCGUGCUUAACACAUGCAAGUCGAACGAGAACGGAUUAUAGCUUGCUAUAAUUGUCAGCUAAGUGGCGCACGGGUGAGUAAUGUAUAGGUAAUAUGCCUCUUACUAAGGGAUAACAAAUGGAAACGUUUGCUAAUACCUUAUACUCCUUAUUAACAGAAGUUUAUAAGGGAAAGAUUUAUUGGUAAGAGAUUAGCCUGUAUUGUAUCAGUUAGUUGGUGGGGUAAUGGCUUACCAAGACUAUGACACAUAACUGGUUUGAGAGGAUGAUCAGUCACACUGGAACUGAGACACGGUCCAGACUCCUACGGGAGGCAGCAGUGGGGAAUAUUGCACAAUGGACGAAAGUCUGAUGCAGCAACGCCGCGUGGAGGAUGACACAUUUCGGUGCGUAAACUCCUUUUAUAUGAGAAGAUAAUGACGGUAUUAUAUGAAUAAGCACCGGCUAACUCCGUGCCAGCAGCCGCGGUAACAC